UCGAUAAUACAAAUUUAGUGCGUCAAAAAAGUAAAAUAAGACAGCUUGAGGUUUUCUAAUAAAAAGUGGGUUAAGAGAAUCUUGUUAAAACUAAGUUCAGCCGAGUUUCAAAAGUUAAAGACACAAUAGGUUGAUAUUAUUAUAAAUAAUCUUAGCUCUGCUAAACAGAAAUUAAAAACAUUAUAAAUUACCCACAAACAGUUUAAAAGAAGGCAAAAAAUGUUGGAAAGUAAAACACAUAGUGAGUCACACAAAAAGGACGUCAAUACAAAUUCCAUUCUACUAUUAGUCACUGCAAAUGUAGGAAGUCUUUUCGAAGAUCCUCUGACAUUGAUGCAGAUUUGGGUUGACGAAUUUCUAACAACAGCAAGGCAAAUAUGUCCACAUUUCAUAGCACUCCACUUACAGGAAGUGGGCGGUAAAAUAUAUGACAAAUCUUCAAAUCAAGUUAAACGGUUUGUCGAAUUACUCUGUGAAGGGCUCGAGAAGCAGCAAUUUUUCAUUUUCCGCAUAUAUAUGGAUGAAAAUAUCAACGCCAGUGAACAGUUUACGGCUUUGGGAAAUUUAUAUUUCUGUCACCGAACUUUAGUCCGGAGCUGUAUCUGGAAUUUUGAAAUAAAUUCGUGGGAGCCCACUCAAAGAGCUAAGAAAUAUUUCGGAAACAUUGAGACCAUACCCACAAAAGAGAAAUCGAAAUUUCCGCUAGAGUUUUUCCCAGAUAGUAAAUGGUCAAGAAAAGGAUUUAUGAGAACACGCUGGAAUAUUGACGGGACUAUCGUAGAUUUUGUGAAUAUACAUUUAUUUCAUGAUGCGUCUAACUUAACUGCAGUUGAAAAUUCUCCUUCAGUUUAUUCUCAAAUGCGGAGAAAAGCAUUAUUACACACUUUGCAAAGGUUUUAUAACGAUAAGAACAACGAACCUGUGCCAUAUUUUCUAUUCGGCGACUUCAAUUUUCGAUGUGAUUCUGCUUCCGUAAUCAAGGAAUUGACAAGAAAUUUAACGAAACAUCGUGCAUCGACCACCAAUGCGAACAGCUCAAAAGUAUUUUAUCGGAAUGAGAUUGGAGAAAAUGUUUUAAUUAUCGGGAAAAAAGAAUUUCACUACGUUGAAAAUCAAGGAAUGAUUAAGGACAACUGGUUAAGCAAAUAUGAUCGAGAUCCGGAACCUUUCAAUGAUAUUUUAUGUGAGUUUGAGUUCGAUUUUAAGCCUUCAUAUCCAUUUGAAGAGGACCCAGAAUUGCCAAAUCAAUACAUGAAAACAAGGUGCCCAGCAUGGUGUGAUCGCGUUUUAAUGAGUUCACAAAUACCAGAAAUUUCUUCUCCCAAGAAAGCCUAUGAACAGUACAAUACAAUGGGCAAGUCCAUCUGCAUGGGGGAUCAUAAGCCGGUGUAUUUAUAUGUCGAAAUGAAAUCAAACAAAGAUUCACGGUGGAAGAACCAAUGAAGCGAAAUUAUCCCGUACAAUGAACAAACUGUAAGGAAUUCGGUCACACAAAAUCCCACUCUGCUUUACAUACCGUCUGCAUAGCAUGUGGCGAUCUUCACCAUUCUACCAAGUGGCUGUUGAAUAAAACGGAUGCAACACAAAAAUAGUGUAGCAACUGUGGUGGCAACUACGGUUUAUGAAGAUUUAAAAUCUAAACUUACCCAAGGUAUACAAGCAAAACGCAACCAGCUCCCAUAUGCUACUUCCAUUCCAGCCCCUUCCAACUUACCCAGCUCAAAUUCUGGUUCUGCCGACGUGCUAAAAGCCAGUGAACCGACCCCACCAGCUAUUCAUUCCAGUACUGGAGUUGAGGUCGUGUUUUUUAAUCUAAUCCAGUGCAUGAUACAAUUGAUAUCAACCAUGCAAAGUAUGGAUUAAGAUCUAAUAAAAGCGCAAAAGCAAAUGCUUGAAGCCCUGAUCACCGAAAAUGAAUUCACGAAAUUGAUGUUAUGCUUUUAUUCGAAAGGCUUCUUACUGAUGAGCAUAACUUUUAUAUCUCUGGGUUUAAGUUGUAGAAUACUAAUCACCUAGAUGGUAAGCACAUGGAGGUAUUAUACUCAUAAGGAGCCGCUUAAAGGAAAGUUUUCUUCACUCUUUCUCAGCAAACAUUUUUCAGUCAACUUAGCUCAUUCUUAAGAAUAGAGGCUUCGAUUUACUGCCCGCCACGCUUCAUAAUAACACAAAAACAAUUUACCGACUUUUUCAAGACUCUGGAAGAUAGAUUUUUAGUAGGAAGCAUUUAUAUUGGGGUUCGAGAUUAAUUAAUCCAAAAGGACGGCAGUAAUACAAAGCGAUCAUAAGUACCAAAAUAAAUACAAUUUUAUCUCACAACUCAGUAGCCUACAGACGCUGGGAAAUUACCUGACUUCAUUGACUUUGCAGUCACUAAAAACGGAGAGUUCAGUAUUUGCCGAAACUUAUGCUGACUUAUCUUGAUCAUUCCUCAAUAAUAUUAAAUUGACCGAACUACCAACUGAAAAUAAGCAUAUUUUUCGACUUGCUACGUUCAGAACUAACUGGCUUAAAUAUAAAACAUACAUAAGCAGUCAUCUACAGACAAAUCGGUAAAUAUAGAGGGAAUCUGAAAUUGAAAACGAGUUAUUUGUGUUCAGCAGUAUGCUGGCAACAGCAGCAACUGUAGCAACACCAGAGCAGGAAACAAAACCAAAAACCAGAAUCAUAAGACAUAAAAAAUUUUAUAAUGUCUUCUCUCUCAACGUUUAACCAAAGAAAUCGCUUUGGAGAGCUAACAAAACCCAUAAACCACCUGUAAGCACUGAAGCUCCGCUGAGGCUACGUAACGGUUCAUUGUUCAGUUCUUUAUUUCGACAUAAUCCGUUAUCGAUAUUGCACCUUUACCACCACACUUAUGUGUUCUUGGAUCAAUAUUGUAUAUUUUGUUCACCUCAGACAUUCCUGCAAAUGACAAAGUAAUGACAUUAACUUUUGCGGAUGAUACUGCUAUACUAAGUGGGCAUAAAUGGCCCAUUACUACUAUUUGAAGAACAGCUAGUGGAAUGGGGCAUAAGAGCAACACACAACCUUUACAUUAAGGCCAAAAUGUGCCCUAUCUUCAAGCUGAACAAUGUGCCUAUCCCACAAGCUAACGAAAUCACUUACCUUGGUAUACACUUGAAUAGCCUACUAAUUUGGAAAUGACACAUUUCAGCCAAAAAGUGCAGCUGAAACUAAUUAUCCGUUUAUAUUGGCUUUAAGAAAGAAAUAGGGGCUUAGCCUUGAAAACAAAGUCCUUUUUCAUAAUGCGAUUGUAAAACUGACAUGGAUGUAUAAAGUCCAGGGGUACAGCUUGCGCGAGAAAUCUAGAUAUAAUACAAAGAUUUCAGUCGAAAACAUUGAGAAUAAUAGCAGGUGCAUCAUGGUACAUUCGUUAUGAGAAUAUCCAUAUAGACCUAUACAUACGCACAAUCAAAGAAGAGAUUGAAACCGUUGCAAAAAGCAA
rnacentral:misc_RNA from 1 species